GGGGGUGUAUGGUUUUGACAGCGUAGAUCUUUGAAGGUGUAAGCAUGUCGUGCGUUGGAUAAUUAGCACGUUAAUCUGAAUAUUCAAAACACAAAUGGCAAUACUCAAUUUGCCAUGGCUGCCUAAUCAGUGAUUAAGUAGUCAUUAGGGCCGCCGGGCAGGUCGUUCUGUUACCACGCCCCGCCGCCGACUUAAAAACAAACACAGAAUGCUGCGACCGUAGGCUGUGCCGGUUGCAUAAGACUAUCCAGCUAAGGAAAUAAUUGGUUCGUCCGUCUCCUGCUAUUUCCCGACAAACAAUGCCGGAAUAAACAUGUAGAAAGCUUUUGGAGAAUAUGUUUGGACACCGGUUCGAAUCCGGUCACCUCCACGU
rnacentral:tmRNA from 1 species